UUUUUUUUUUUUUUUUGAUAACCGAGAAAUCCGUCUGUGACCCGCCCUUUGGACCAAUCACAGCCUUCUAAACUCGGUGGAUAAUGGGCCCGUCCCUCUACCCUUCUCCACUUAAAUACCGGGCUUCGCUUUGCAUGGUGUGGGGCUUGAACCUGCGACCUAAGCCACAAAUCCUCCACCUUUUGCCACUUGAGCUAGGCCUUGGGGGCUACAUCUAGUGACC
rnacentral:lncRNA from 1 species